ACGCGUUAAGCACACCGCCUGGGGAGUACGGCCGCAAGGUUGAAACUCAAAGGAAUUGACGGGGGCCCGCACAAGCGGUGGAGCAUGUGGUUUAAUUCGAAGCAACGCGCAGAACCUUACCAGGGCUUGAAUGUAGAGGCUGCAAGCAGAGAUGUUUGUUUCCCGCAAGGGACCUCUAACACAGGUGCUGCAUGGCUGUCGUCAGCUCGUGUCGUGAGAUGUUGGGUUAAGUCCCGCAACGAGCGCAACCCCUAUCUUUAGUUGCCAUCAGGUUGGGCUGGGCACUCUAGAGAGACUGCCGGUGACAAGCCGGAGGAAGGUGGGGAUGACGUCAAGUCCUCAUGGCCCUUAUGUCCUGGGCUACACACGUGCUACAAUGGCGGUGACAGUGGGAAGCUAGGUGGUGACACCAUGCUGAUCUCUAAAAGCCGUCUCAGUUCGGAUUGCACUCUGCAACUCGAGUGCAUGAAGGUGGAAUCGCUAGUAAUCGCGGAUCAGCAUGCCGCGGUGAAUACGUUCCCGGGCCUUGUACACACCGCCCGUCACACCAUGGGAGUUGGUUUGACCUUAAGCCGGUGAGCGAACCGCAAGGACGCAGCCGACCACGGUCGGGUCAGCGACUGGGGUGAAGUCGUAACAAGGUAGCCGUAGGGGAACCUGCGGCUGGAUCACCUCCUUUCAAGGAACUGUUCUGAGUUAAUUGGUUUACUGAUUGAUUUGGAAUGUUCUGAAUAAAAAGUCCUUUGCUUAUGGAUCGGCAAAGGCGCUGUCUGUCAGUUUCUGAUGUGUUUGUGCAUCGGGGGCGCCGUCAACAUAUCCCUUUCUGCAACAGAUGUCUGAGUGAUUUGGGCUGAUACGUUUUUAUGUAUUGUCUAGGUUAUUCAGUCGGGUUUUGGGCUAGUAGCUCAGUUGGUUAGAGCACACGCUUGAUAAGCGUGGGGUCGGAGGUUCAAGUCCUCCCUGGCCCACCACCAUUUGAGACUGCCGGUUCCUAUGGGGGCGUAGCUCAGCUGGGAGAGCACCUGCUUUGCAAGCAGGGGGUCGUCGGUUCGAACCCGUCCGUCUCCACCAAGGAUCUAGAGUGGUUUUGUGGUGUUGAGAGUAUCUGUUGCAAGGGAGUUUGUGGAUCGGACUUCAUUUAUGCGGCGCUGCGAUAGCGGCACGUAUGGGUGUGUGUCUGGUGUUGAUCUUUGUCAGUGUGAAUCGGUUGGUGCGCGUCUGGGCGUAUCGGAAAUGUGGGUUGGUCUGACCCGUAUUGAGCAAAGAGAUUUGCUCAUGCGUUAAGCAUUUCUGGUGUAAGCGUUCAGAAGCGUUUUGAAGAAGUAGACGUACUCGGAUGCGUCAUGUUUUGGAGCUGUUUGUAUCUGCGUAAGUAGGUAUGGAUGGUUUCUGUGCAUGGGGUGAGUGAGUAUGAGAAGGGCAUUCGGUGGAUGCCUUGGCACUAGGAGGCGACGAAGGACGUAGCACGCUGCGAUAAGCUGUGGGGAGCCGCGAGCAGGCAUUGAUCCGCAGAUUUCCGAAUGGGGCAACCCACCCAGCGAUGGGUAUCGUGAUCUGAAUACAUAGGGUUACGAGGCGAACCCGGGGAACUGAAACAUCUCAGUACCUGGAGGAAAAGACAUCAAUUGAGAUUCUGCUAGUAGUGGCGAGCGAACGCGGAACAGGCCAGUCAUUUUUGAAGAAGAAGCAGAACAGUCUGGAAAGGCUGACCAUAGUGGGUGACAGUCCCGUAUGUGUAGUGUCUUUGGAAAUGCUUGAGUAGGGCGGGGCACGUGAAACCCUGUCUGAACAUGGGGGGACCACCCUCCAAGCCUAAAUACUCCCUAGUGACCGAUAGCGAACAAGUACCGUGAGGGAAAGGUGAAAAGCACCCCGACGAGGGGAGUGAAAGAGACCUGAAACCGGAUGCCUACAAGCAGUCGGAGCCUCUUAUGGGGUGACGGCGUACCUUUUGUAUAAUGGGUCAGCGAGUUUCUGUUUGCAGCGAGCUUAAGCCGAUAGGUGUAGGCGUAGCGAAAGCGAGUCUGAAUAGGGCGCAUAGUUGCUGGCAGAAGACCCGAAACCGAGUGAUCUAGCCAUGGCCAGGCUGAAGGUGCGGUAACACGCACUGGAGGGCCGAACCCACGCCUGUUGAAAAAGUCGGGGAUGAGCUGUGGCUAGGGGUGAAAGGCCAAUCAAACUCGGAGAUAGCUGGUUCUCCGCGAAAUCUAUUGAGGUAGACCGUCAGGUGGUUACCCCGGGGGGUAGAGCACUGGAUGGGCUAGGGGGGCCCAAAGCCUUACCAAACCCAACCAAACUCCGAAUACCCGGAAGUAUAGCCUGGCAGACAGACAGUGGGUGCUAAGGUCCAUUGUCGAGAGGGAAACAGCCCAGACCACCAGCUAAGGCCCCCAAAUCGUGGCUAAGUGGGAAAGGAUGUGGGGAUUCCAUAACAACCAGGAGGUUGGCUUAGAAGCAGCCAUCCUUUAAAGAAAGCGUAAUAGCUCACUGGUCUAAUAGAAACCCUGCGCCGAAAAUGUAACGGGGCUCAAGCCACGUGCCGAAGCUGUGGGUGCAUAUCUAUGAUAUGCGCGGUAGCGGAGCGUUCCGUAAGUCAGUGAAGGAGACGGG
rnacentral:rRNA from 1 species